rnacentral:rRNA from 1 species
UACGAAGGAUGCAAGCGUUAUCCGGAAUUAUUGGGCGUAAAGCGUCCGCAGGUGGCACUUCAAGUCUGCUGUCAAAGACCGGGGCUUAACCCUGGAAAGGCAGUGGAAACUGAAGCGCUAGAGUGUGGCAGGGGUAGAGGGAAUUCCCGGUGUAGCGGUGAAAUGCGUAGAGAUCGGGAAGAACACCCGUGGCGAAGGCGGCUCUCUGGGACGGUACUGACGCUGAGACGCGAAAGCGUGGGGAGCGAACAGG